UCUUUGCUCUUGUGGUAUGGAAUAGGAGGUGAUGAAGAAAGUGGUAGUUUGACUUAGCUUGAGAAGAUACCUGUACAGCAGUCUCUAAUUUUGGAGUUCCUGCUUCUUGUGAAUCCUUUAUCAGAGCAACAAUCGGUAGGCAUCUACAACUUGCAGCCGUAAUCCCAGUAGGCUGAAGAUGCUCUGACAAAAAGCAUGUAGGCAUCGCAGCAAUCCCUGGCUGAGACAUUGGCCAAUUGCUCAGCUGGCCCAUCAGGAUCAUCUGGAUAUGUGGCAAACUAUGGGUCAAAUGGCCACAGCCAUGGGAAAGCUUGGAACGCUAGAGGGAUUCCUUCACCCGGUAAUUUUAUUUUCUGGUUUGAUCCCACUUAUUUGUUUUCCCAGUAUGGUUCAUGCACUCAUUGCUAGGAAGGAAAGAAGAUUAAAUGAAAUUCAAUUCCCCCUCUUUGCUUUUCUCAAAACAGGAACCGUGUUUGAAGAAUAAGGCACUACCUUUGGGUGGGUGAUAAUGGUAUUAUCAUUUCAAUAAAACCAUUUUUUAAGAACAACUUUUGUGCAAUGGUUCCUAUUAUGGUUAAGUGUAGGGUUUAGAAGUGAUUGAAUUGUAGCCAAGUACUCUACUUAAGUCUCAUCAUUGAAUCUGAUUCUAGUUCUCUUUUAA